ensembl:lncRNA
ACAAACUGUGGGGUGGGGGCACGGACAAUAUUUUAAACAGUUCCCACAGAUUGCAUGGCCAUUCUUGUUUACUCAAAGCAGCAUCUGAAUGACAUAUCAAUGUGUAUUAUUAUAGAGCUUGCUGCAUGAUGCUGAUGUGCCCUUCACUCACAUUUGAGAAUCAUAUACUUAGGUUAUUUGUCCAUGCACAUAUGUAUUAAUAGGGUUGAAGCAACAAAUUAAUUGGUUCUAAGAGCUGCAGAUUUAUCCUAAAAACUAAUCUUGAAUACAGCAUUUCUGGAAUGUGCCGGAGGAUACCCCAAAAUUUUUAUUCAUAACUGGGAGAUGUGUGCAUGUAUAUGUUUCUCCAAGUGUUUUCUUUAGAACAAAAUCUUGUGAUAAGGAAACUGAGGUUGAAGAAGAUGAAAUAAGUUGCCCCAAAUCAUAGAAUUACCAAAUUCAAGCUGUGAUUCUGAAUCCAGCAACCUGAUUUGGGUGCAAGUUGGCAAUUUACCCAGUCCUUCUCCACUGUGUGCCGAACUCGGGUGCAGACUCAUUUCUUUGGUGUUGCCUCCUGCAGUGUUGGGCUUCCCUUGUGGCUCAGCUGGUAAAGAAUCUGCUUGCAAGGCUUCAGCAAUAUGUGAACCGUGAACUUCCAGAUGUUCAAGCUGGUUUUAGAAAAGGGAGAAGAACCAGAGAUCAAAUUGCCAACAUCCACUGAAUCAUCGAAAAAGCAAGAGAGUUCCAGAAAAACAUCUAUUUCUGCUUUAUUGACUAUGCCAAAGCCUUUGACUGUGUGGAUC